ensembl:lncRNA
CGACAAUUUUAACUGGAGUCUCCUACGGCCGCAGGGCUUUGCUUCAUUCCUCAAGCAGCUUCUCAAAUCCUGGGUUUUCCAGUCCUACCCUGUCAGUCCCGACCCUGACCCCGCCUACAGAAUCAGGAGGGCGCCCCGCCCAAGUUCGUUUUUCUUUGCUUCGCACCCUGCCUGGGACACAAUCCUAGAUUUUAGGCGACGUAGGCUCGCCCUAACCACUGGACAUUUUCCUUGUCCCCUCUUCUGCUGUCUACUGGCUUCGUCUUCUUUUUCCUGGGAAAAGGUUUAGCCUGCAAUACCGGAUCAGAGUCUCGUCUUUCAUAAAGCCAAUCCCCAUCGUUCCUACGACUGACUGAGAUGUGCCCAGACGUGACAAUCCAUAACAACUCCCUUUCGAACAGGACGCUGCCACUGGUCAUGCUCUCAGGAGAGUCCUCUCACCUCAGAGAAUGUGUCGUUGGUCCGUUCAUUCACGCAAAGACCAACCAGUUUUUAUUUUUAUUUUUCUAAGUGCUGGGGACUGAACCCAGGACCUCGCUCGUGCUAGGCAAGCGGUAUACCACUGAAGUACAGCCUCAGCCCCAACUCUCAUCACUAUCCAUGGAUAUAUCUAUAAUUGAAACAGGGAAGCCAGAUGUGGUGGUGUGCGCCUGUAAUCCCAGCGCUCUGGGAGACUGAGGCAAGGAAGAUCUCCCUUGUCCUGGCCCUGGAGAACUUAGCGAUUUUGUGAAACUCUAUCACAAAAUAAAAAAUGAAAAGAGCCGGGGAUUUAGCUCAGUGGUUCUGCCGCCUGCCUCGCAAGCGCAAGGUCCCAAGUUCGAUCCCCGGUACCAAAAAGAAAAGAAAAGAAAAGAAAAGAGGCAAACAUUUACCAAGAUGUGACUAUGUUGAGGUGGCCGUGCUUUGAGGAAACCCAACUGAUGGACAGAGGUUGUGUAGGCAUUACAGUUGACAAUCCCUGCGGAGCUCAUCCUUUGAGUUUUCUCAGCCCUGAUGCCAGAUUGUAAGUGAAGAAGUUCUAAAGGAUUCUAUCUCACAACUUUCAAGUCAAGUCACCUUUUUAGGCUUUCCAAAUCCUAUAGAGAAGAGACCAACUCUCCCCAGCUGUGUCCUGUCCAAAUUUCUGACUCAAGAUCC